AGUGAACGCUGGCGGUAGGCCUAACACAUGCAAGCCGAACGGCAGCACAGUAAGAGCUUGCUCUUACGGGUGGCGAGUGGCGGACGGGUGAGGAAUACAUCGGAAUCUACUUUUUCGUGGGGGAUAACGUAGGGAAACUUACGCUAAUACCGCAUACGACCUACGGGUGAAAGCAGGGGAUCUUCGGACCUUGCGCGAUUGAAUGAGCCGAUGUCGGAUUAGCUAGUUGGCGGGGUAAAGGCCCACCAAGGCGACGAUCCGUAGCUGGUCUGAGAGGAUGAUCAGCCACACUGGAACUGAGACACGGUCCAGACUCCUACGGGAGGCAGCAGUGGGGAAUAUUGGACAAAGGGCGCAAGCCUGAUCCAGCCAUACCGCGUGGGUGAAGAAGGCCUUCGGGUUGUAAAGCCCUUUUGUUGGGAAAGAAAAGCAGCAGGUUAAUACCCCGCUGUUCUGACGGUACCCAAAGAAUAAGCACCGGCUAACUUCGUG
rnacentral:rRNA from 1 species